UACGGGGGGAGCAAGCGUUGUUCGGAUUUACUGGGCGUAAAGGGCGCGUAGGCGGUCGUGACAAGUCACUUGUGAAAUCUCCGGGCUUAACUCGGAACGGUCAAGUGAUACUGUCGGACUAGAGUACAGAAGGGGCAACUGGAAUUCUCGGUGUAGCGGUGAAAUGCGUAGAUAUCGAGAGGAACACCUGCGGCGAAGGCGGGUUGCUGGGCUGAUACUGACGCUGAGGCG
rnacentral:rRNA from 1 species